AGACAUUGGUCCUAACCUUUCAGGAUACAAGAGGUUAUAGUCCAAAAUAUAGUAAUAUAAAUAUAUAUUUCCAAAGUCCUCCGGUAAUAAUACUGAUGAAGCAGUAAUUUUAGAUAUUUUAACAAGAUCAGUGAUACUGCAUUGCAAUGCCAAGACCAAUAUUCAUGUGGAGAUGCUAUGUUUUUUCUUCUGAAUCUUGGAAACCAGAGAUAUUUGUCUCAGAAGUCCAGUAAGAGCACCAAGAGGACAAAUGAACAUUUUUCUGACAGUAACCCUGAAGAAUCCCACACUCUUGGCAGAGAGAACAGUUCUGGCUUUUGCAGUGGUCAGCCUUCAGGUGGAUCACCAGUGAGAUGCAUCUUUGAGAGCUGGAAUUGAGCAGAUUCUAUCUAUAUUUCUCUCAAAAAUUGCAACCUCUAGCAGAAGACGUAAAAGAUCUUUAAUCAGUGGUGGUCUGGGCCAGAUGUGAAGAUAUUACCAAAGCCUUAUCUCAUGGACAUCAGAAGAUGAAAGCAGAGGAAUUCCUCCAACAUCAGGUAACCUUCCCUGUGUGGGAGGAUGCGAGUGACCAAGGUCGCUCUGCACACACAUGGCAACAGGAAGAAAACUCAGCAAGUACAACCCUCCUGGCCCAGCCAAGCACAGAGAAUAUGAGCCAUGAAUUAAGAUGCCAGUCAAUGCUGCCUCCCUUUAAUGUCACACAGGACAGGAGACAUCAGCCACAGAAAAGAAUCUUCAUUAGAAGAAGGACAACUAUUUUCUCUGUGUAAAUUUUUAUAGACUGCCUGCAUAGAAGUCUGAAAACAGGUGACAAGAUAUCUCAUGAUAUAUGUUAAGAGCUGUCAGCUGAGAUUUGGGCCCCUGUUCUUGCAUUCAUUAUUGUCCAUGGAUUCCUUUCCUGCUUCACAACGUCUUGCCUUGAUGUAAGACUGCAGAGAAAAGCCAGACAGAGACUGAAACUGCAGUCAGAAUUCUGCAGCAUUCAGAUCACAUUUACAGCUGUUUCAAAUCACAGCAGCCCAUCUACCCAGUGACACAGACCACAGACAACAUGUGAGUCUGUCUUUUUUCUCUUCACUGGUGCCCCAUUGACAACUCAGUUGAACGCAAGGCUUCGUGCUUCCUUUCAAAGCCCCAAGCAGGACUGGCUUCAAUUACCAAGUGCACUUCAUACUGUGUGACUCCCACAUCACUUACAUCCUGUUGGAAGGAAGGACUUGUCAUCUUCAAGUAAAUAUUGUGAGUGCAGGAAAAAAAGCUUCCCAAAGGACAGCCUGUGACCCUGGAACUCACUCCUCAAAAGGCACAAAUGAACAGGAACAGCUCUACCAUGGCAAAAGGCAACAAGAUCAUUCACUUUGUCCCAUCACUGUGGCAGGGAAUCAAGGAAAGAAGCAGCUUCUCAAAUAAAUGGAUAAGAAAUGCACAGAAGCAUGGAGAGCCAUAUGUUUUCAUAAUAUGUAAACAGAGUGAGCGGUUAAUAUAGCUUGUCCCUUGUUGGCAGGAGACAGUCACACACAAAAAAAUAAAAGGUAGAGUUUUGUUGGGUCUGGGACUUGUUCAGUAUUUCAUAAUAACACACAUAUUACGUGUUACCAGUUCAGUGGUGGUCAAGGAGCUUGUGCCUUCCUUCAGGUUUUGCUUGCCUGGCUCCCUUACUUUGGAUGAUGGUUUUUCUUGUUCCCUUAAUUCUCAGUAGUAACAUAGAGUAUAUAAGAUCAGAUGCUAUAAAAUAUUGAUUUUAGUUUUAGUGUGUCAACUAGGUGAUUUCCUUUUCAAACUGUACUUCAUAAAGUUGUCAUUUAAAAAAAAUAUUUGUUUUCAUCUUUUUCAUUAUACUUGGUCAUACGAGUAUAUACUGAUGAAUUACCUUAAUAGAUCAUGAAUGUUAUUUAUGCUUUUGAAACUAGGUAAAAGUCCAAAUUCUUUUAUUCUACAAAGAAAACAGACUAAUAUUCAUGGUGCUAUAAGCCGUUGUUCUAAUACUCCUCAUUAUAUCUCUUAUUCUA